CACUGGACUGAGACACGGUCCAGACUCCUACGGGAGGCAGCAGUGGGGAAUAUUGCACAAUGGGGGAAACCCUGAUGCAGCCAUGCCGCGUGUGAGAAGAAGGCCUUCGGGUUGUAAAGCACUUUCAGUAGGGAGGAAGGUAGUGUAGUUAACACCUGCAUUAUUUGACGUUACCUACAGAAGAAGCACCGGCUAACUCCGUGCCAGCAGCCGCGGUAAUACGGAGGGUGCGAGCGUUAAUCGGAAUUACUGGGCGUAAAGCGCAUGCAGGCGGCCUGUUAAGUCAGAUGUGAAAGCCCGGGGCUUAACCUCGGAAUUGCAUUUGAAACUGGCAGGCUAGAGUCUUGUAGAGGGGGGUAGAAUUUCAGGUGUAGCGGUGAAAUGCGUAGAGAUCUGAAGGAAUACCAGUGGCGAAGGCGGCCCCCUGGACAAAGACUGACGCUCAGAUGCGAAAGCGUGGGGAGCAAACAGGAUUAGAUACCCUGGUAGUCCACGCCGUAAACGAUGUCUACUUGGAGGUUGUGGCCUUGAGCCGUGGCUUUCGGAGCUAACGCGUUAAGUAGACCGCCUGGGGAGUACGGUCGCAAGAUUAAAACUCAAAUGAAUUGACGGGGGCCCGCACAAGCGGUGGAGCAUGUGGUUUAAUUCGAUGCAACGCGAAGAACCUUACCUACUCUUGACAUC
rnacentral:rRNA from 2 species